GUGGGGAACAACUUCGAGAAAUCGGAGCUAAUACCGCAUAAUAAUAGAGGAUCGCAUGAUUCUUUAAGGAAAGAUGGCCUCUGAAGAUGCUAUCGCAAAAGGAUGGACCCGCGUCUGAUUAGCUAGUUGGAAGGGUAACGGCCUACCAAGGCAACGAUCAGUAGCCGGCCUGAGAGGGUGAACGGCCACAUUGGGACUGAGACACGGCCCAAACUCCUACGGGAGGCAGCAGUGGGGAAUCUUCCGCAAUGGGCGAAAGCCUGACGGAGCAAUGCCGCGUGAGUGAAGAAGGCCUUCGGGUUGUAAAACUCUGUCCUUAUCGAAGAGAGGUAGGUAUGUGAAUAAUGUACCUAUAGGACGGUAGAUAAGGAGGAAGCCCCGGCUAACUACGUGCCAGCAGCCGCGGUAAUACGUAGGGGGCGAGCGUUGUCCGGAAUCACUGGGCGUAAAGGGCGCGUAGGCGGUUUAAUAAGUCAGUGGUGAAAACUGAGGGCUCAACCCUCAGCCUGCCACUGAUACUGUUAGACUUGAGUAUGGAAGAGGAGAAUGGAAUUCCUAGUGUAGCGGUGAAAUGCGUAGAUAUUAGGAGGAACACCAGUGGCGAAGGCGAUUCUCUGGGCCAAGACUGACGCUGAGGCGCGAAAGCGUGGGGAGCAAACAGGAUUAGAUACCCUGGUAGUCCACGCCGUAAACGAUGGAUACUAGGUGUUAGUAGUUUCGAUGCUACUAGUGCCGGAGUAAACACAAUAAGUAUCCCGCCUGGGGAGUACGGUCGCAAGACUGAAACUCAAAGGAAUUGACGGGGGCCCGCACAAGCGGUGGAGCAUGUGGUUUAAUUCGACGCAACGCGAAGAACCUUACCAAGACUUGACAUCCUCCUGACAAGAUAUGUAAUGUAUCUCUUUUCUUCGGAGACAGGAGAGACAGGUGGUGCAUGGUUGUCGUCAGCUCGUGUCGUGAGAUGUUGGGUUAAGUCCCGCAACGAGCGCAACCCUUAUUUCUAGUUGCCAGCAGUAAGAUGGGGACUCUAGAGAGACUGCCAGUGACAAACUGGAGGAAGGUGGGGAUGACGUCAAAUCAUCAUGCCCCUUAUGUCUUGGGCUACACACGUGCUACAAUGGUCAGAACAGAGGGAAGCGAAGCCGCGAGGUGGAGCAAAUCCCAGAAAACUGAUCUCAGUUCGGAUUGCAGGCUGCAACCCGCCUGCAUGAAGUCGGAAUCGCUAGUAAUCGCGGGUCAGCAUACCGCGGUGAAUACGUUCCCGGGCCUUGUACACACCGCCCGUCACACCACGAAAGUUAGUAACACCCGAAGCCGGUGGCCUAACCCGCAAGGGAGGGAGCUGUCGAAGGUGGGACUGAUGAUUGGGGUGAAGUCGUAACAAGGUACCC
rnacentral:rRNA from 1 species